UACGUAGGGGGGCAAGCGUUGUCCGGAUUUAUUGGGCGUAAAGAGCGUGUAGGCGGCCAUACAGGUCCGUUGUGAAAACUCGAGGCUCAACCUCGAGACGUCGAUGGAAACCGUAUGGCUCGAGUCCGGAAGAGGCGAGUGGAAUUCCGUGGUGUAGCGGUGAAAUGCGCAGAUAUCUGGAGGAACACCGGUGGCGAAGGCGGCAUCCUGGACCGGCAUUGACGCUGAAUAGCGAAAGCCAGGGGAGCAAACGGG
rnacentral:rRNA from 1 species